UUUUUUUUCACUCACCACUCAUUUGUUUGAUAUUCAAGAAAAGGCUCAUAUUGCACUUGGAUGUGAAAUAGAACUGAGCAAAGAGAUGUCAGGAGAAAACAGAUGCUGUAGAAAAAUACGGAGAAAAGGCCCCACCUUUCAAACAUCAUUCUUUGCACUCAAAGUGAUAUCAAUGGAAAGUCUCAGAAAGCAAUAGCCCAGAACUUUCACAAGUUCCCAGAUAAUCACUUGGCUGUUGUGCAAGCUAGAGCCAGGAGAGAUUCCACAGCUGCAGAACCCCACUGAUAUUUAGUGGCAAGCAAAGAACUGCAUUUUUUUCCCAGAGCUCAGCUGUUUGAAAUACACUGAAUGCAAAAUCAUGGAUGAUUCAAGACAAGACUAUGGGAGAGUGAAGUUCUUCUGCAAGAUUACAUCCAUUGCUAUAUUAAGUGGCACAAAAUCUCCUAGUCAUUCUAGCCUUUGAAAAUGAGGAUCUAAACUGAGUGAUUGUGCUCAUAUUCUUUAUUUGACUGGGUGGCUGCCACUCAGAAUCUAUCUUCAUUGAUACCAAAUGACUGUGACGGUAAGAAAUGAGGGGGGGGGGGAAAGAGCAUACAAAA